AGUGAACGCUGGCGGUAGGCCUAACACAUGCAAGUCGAACGGCAGCACAGUAAGAGCUUGCUCUUACGGGUGGCGAGUGGCGGACGGGUGAGGAAUACAUCGGAAUCUACUUUUUCGUGGGGGAUAACGUAGGGAAACUUACGCUAAUACCGCAUACGACCUACGGGUGAAAGCAGGGGAUCUUCGGACCUUGCGCGAUUGAAUGAGCCGAUGUCGGAUUAGCUAGUUGGCGGGGUAAAGGCCCACCAAGGCGACGAUCCGUAGCUGGUCUGAGAGGAUGAUCAGGCAGAAUGGAAAUGAGAGACGGUCCAGACUCCAACGGGAGGAAGCAGUGGGGAAUAUUGGAGAAUGGGCGAAAGCUUGAUCCAGCCAUACAGCGUGGGUGAAGAAGGACUUAGGGUUGUAAAGCACUUUUGUUGGGAAAGAAAAGAAGCAGGUUAAUACCCCGCUGUUCUGACGGUACCAAAAGAAUAAGCAACGGCUAACUUAGUG
rnacentral:rRNA from 1 species